UGAACGCUGGCGGCGUGCCUAAUACAUGCAAGUCGAGCGAACAGACGAGGAGCUUGCUCCUCUGACGUUAGCGGCGGACGGGUGAGUAGCACGUGGAUAACCUACCUAUAAGACUGGGAUAACUUCGGGAAACCGGAGCUAAUACCGGAUAAUAUAUUGAACCGCAUGGUUCAAUAGUGAAAGACGGUUUUGCUGUCACUUAUAGAUGGAUCCGCGCCGCAUUAGCUAGUUGGUAAGGUAACGGCUUACCAAGGCAACGAUGCGUAGCCGACCUGAGAGGGUGAUCGGCCACACUGGAACUGAGACACGGUCCAGACUCCUACGGGAGGCAGCAGUAGGGAAUCUUCCGCAAUGGGCGAAAGCCUGACGGAGCAACGCCGCGUGAGUGAUGAAGGUCUUCGGAUCGUAAAACUCUGUUAUUAGGGAAGAACAAAUGUGUAAGUAACUAUGCACGUCUUGACGGUACCUAAUCAGAAAGCCACGGCUAACUACGUG
rnacentral:rRNA from 1 species